rfam:Pseudomonas syringae pv. spinaceae strain ICMP16929 PspICMP16929_Contig_139, whole genome shotgun sequence.
UGACGGCUGAGCCCUGACACUGAUCCGGGGGUAGCUCGGCAGGACGCCGAGCUAGCCGCACCGUGCCAGGGAUGGCACGUUGCGGCGACCCCCGGAUCAGUGUCAGGGCGAAGGAACCC